GGGAAAGGGGAAGUGGUUCUGAAAGGAGGGAGAUGGAGAGGAAAAGAAUGGCGCUGAAAACAGGAAGUAACCAGACAUCUUCAUCGGUUCACUAUGUUGGCUGAAGAAGAGCAAGUCACACCUGUCUGAGUGGAAAAAAUGUGUAUAUAUACACAAAGUGUGAGGUCUUUCAGCAAGUUCUCCUUGGGCCAGCAAUGUGCCCUUAUGGCCAAGAGGGUCAAUGCCAUCCUGGCCAGCAGCUCUAGGGAGGUUCUUCUCCGUCUCUACUCUGCCAUCCUGAGACCACACCUGCAAUACUGUGUCCAGUUUUGGGCUCCCCAAUUCAAGAAGGACAGGGAUCUACUGGAAAGAGUCCAACAGAGAGCCAUGAGAAUGACUAGAGGACUUGAACAUCUUCCUUAUGAAGAGAUACUGAGAGACCUUUGGCUUUUCAGUCUUUUCAUUUGGAAGUCUUUAACAACUACCCUCUGAAUGAGACCAUGCAACCAAUUCAUUAUACACUGAACAGUCCACAUAUCAAAUCCAUAUCUCUCCAGUUUAAAAAGAGGAAUGUUGUGAGGAACUGUGUCAAACAUAUUAACAUAUUAUUGUGAACAUAAAAGUAGAUUUCUAAUGGAUUUUUUUUUUUAAAUUUCCUUUUGAAUUCUGGGCUGCUUUUGAAUUGUUCUGUCUACAGUUGUGCCCUGUCUGUUGAUAAUGACAAAGGAAAAUAAAGAGGAGAAAUAAAACCUGUGUUUGUUAAUUUUUUUUGUUUGAUAAAUAAAAAUAACUGAUAAAUUCUCAUA